rnacentral:rRNA from 1 species
CCUACGGGAGGCAGCAGUGAGGAAUAUUGGUCAAUGGACGAGAGUCUGAACCAGCCAAGUAGCGUGAAGGAUGACUGCCCUAUGGGUUGUAAACUUCUUUUAUAAAGGAAUAAAACGAGGCACGUGUGCCUUUUUGCAUGUACUUUAUGAAUAAGGAUCGGCUAACUACGUGCCAGCAGCCGCGGUAAUCCGGAGGGUCCGAGCGUUAUCCGGAUUUAGUGGGUUUAAAGGGAGCGUAGAUGGGUUGUUAAGUCAGUUGUGAAAGUUUGCGGCUCAACCGUAAAAUUGCAAUUGAUACUGGCAGUCUUGAGUACAGUUGAGGUAGGCGGAAUUCGUGGUGUAGCGGUGAAAUGCGUAGAUAUCACGAAGAACCCCGAUUGCGAAGGCAGCUUACUAAACUGUGACUGACAUUGAUGCUCGAAAGUGUGGGUAUCAAACAGGAUUAGAUACCCUUGUAGUC